UUUUUUUUUUUUUUUCUCUCCUUUUUUUGGUUCUCCUUAGAUUUUGGAGAGGAUGAGGAUGGGCCCAUAAUCUCCUAGUGAAAUAUUCAAAGUCCAUUUGCAUGAGAUAUGGGCUGGGCUGUAGUAUAAUUGGGGAGUGAUGGGCUUAAAAUUGGAAUGUGGGCUCAAAAACUAUCCACAACAGGUCUAUGUUGAGAGGUUCAAUAUGGCCCCUCGUUAUUGAUCUGAAACCUAGUAAGGACCCCUCGUUAUAACCCCUCUUUCAUUGCAGUCUUUCUGAUAAAUUAUUAGGGAAGAAUAAUAUAAAGGGUCCGAAUCCAAUUUAAUAUGAGUUGGUAGGAUCCUUAAAAUCCUGGUAAUGAUGUUCCUACUUGGUAGCUCACAUGAUAUAGGAAUCUUUGUAAUGUAACAUGACUCAACUACAAUCUGCCCAACUCAUAUUAAAUUAGUAUAAUCUUAGUAAUGUAAAAUAGCGUUAUUCCCGUUUCAUUGAAGUCUUUCCUCUAAUAGAGAGAAGAGGAGAGGAGAGGUGAUUUGGUUUGGUUGGUCACGUGGUGGCUCACCCACUGAGUCAGCAGCAGAACCUCAUUCGCCACCGCUUGGCUUGGAGUCUUGGACACUUCGUAUGCUUUUGGACCAAAAAAAUUAAAAAAAACAGUUUGUAUGAUUUGCCAUUAAGUUGCACUGCAGCUUCCUCACCCUUUCCAUUCCCUUUCUCAAUUCUCACACGCACUCUCUCUCUGACCUUUUUUUUUUUUUGGUCCUGUUUUUCUCAUAAUCUUUUUACUUACUUUUUAAAGAUCUAACUCACAUUUAUAAUUGAGAAGAGAGAGAGCAAGAGAGAGCAGAAGAGGAUUGAUGCAGAUUGUUUUUGCAACCAUCAAUGGUAUGGACCCUCACUUGUCUUGUCUGCCACCACCAUCUUCAUUUCACUCUGAUUAUUCUCAUCAUUCACUACUCUCUUCUUCUUCUUAAAGCCUUUUUGCUUGUAUUAUUGCUCUUCUGUCUUAUAAUCUCCUCUUCCUUAAAUCAUAUUACAGGAUCAUAUUGGAAGACAUAGACAUGGAUCAUUUGUAAGACAAAUAUAAGCACUUGCUUUCUUUUGUUUUAAUUUUGAGCUGCCUUGGUAGCUAGCUAGCUAGCUGCAAUGGCUGGGAUGCUUCCUGGUGUGGAAUGCGCUCGAAGGAGACGAGUCCAUCAAAGCGGCGAGUCACCAGGCGUGGGCACACAUGGCUGGACCAGGCGCUCCUCUUUUUGUUUGUAUGCUAGCAACCAUGAAACUCACCAUACCUCCACCUUUUCCCUGGUAAUUAUCUGCCUUAUGCCUUCUGCCACACGAUAUAACAAAUUAUGUUACAAACCAACUAUAUAUAUUUCUUAACUUUUCUUGAUUGUUUUAAAGCAAAGAAGCAUAUUGAACCAAUCAUACAUGGAUGAGAAACUGGGAGUGGAAGCCCGAGAAGCUAAAGGGAGAUUAGAUGAAAGACUCAGAACACAGAGAAAAUCAGAACCCAAUAAAAGGUAAUUAAGAACAAAUUGCCAAUAACAUAACAUGUGUUGUUGAUUAUCUUAUCUAUGUGUUUUACAUGUUUUGUUGUAUGAUGAAUUCAGGCAUAGUGUUCAUAGAGAAGAAGAGAGAUGUGUGGAUGGUGGAAGAUCUAUGUUUCUUCUCGGAGAAUUGCAGAAAGAAGUCUUUGGAACAAAGAAGAGCGGGUCAAAGAGGUUCAGCUGGGCCAAGUUGAGCUGGAAGGCCUCAGACCAAGAUGAGUGUGCUGUCUGCCUGGAAAUAUUCAGGCCUCGUGAGACCCUGGUGCACCUGCCCUGUGCACACAGGUUCCAUUCUGGCUGUAUGGUUCCAUGGCUACAGAACAAUGCCCAUUGCCCCUGUUGCAGAAUGGGGAUUGUCUCCCAGUAAAAAUCUCUUUUGUACUUUUGGUAAAAAUGGAAAUUGUAAUCUAGAUAAAGCUUUUCCAGUUAUAGUUAUAGAGUUGGUCUGAGCAAUUAGCUUGUAUCUAAUCUACCAUAUCUUAGUUUUUCUUUGGUUGAAGUGAAAAGUUGCCAAGUAGUCUUUGAUUCCCCAAUCAUGGUAAAUACUUAAAGUUAAUUAGAAGCUGCAACAUGUUGUUAGGCCCAUAUAAUUCCUCCACUUGCAUGAGAAAGGGAGGGAGGGAGCUUCUUGUCAUCUUCCAUCCUUGAAGGAUGAAAAAUAGACAAGGUAUUUUGUUUGACAAGACUUCAAUUUGUGAAACAAAUAAGUGGAUGAAUCAAAUUGCACAAGAGAUCACUGUCUAUCCAUUGUUUUCUUCCCCCAACCUAAAAUUGAAUACCAGAUGAGAAGAUGCACCACUCACUCAUCAUGUGGGCAGUGGGCCAAGAACAGCUUCAUUAUUUUGGGACAAUCUUUGCUGUCUUGUCUGGUCGACCUAUUUUUUUUUUUUGUUUUAGUGGAAAUUAUUUGUGGUCGUACUAAUCAAAUGACAUAUCUUGGCUGUAAAUUAUGGGAAGCAAAAUGACCAUUCGGCUAAGUAAGUGGUAGAUGAGAUUGUUAUAAACAAUUGCAACAUUAUAUGAUACCUUGAAGAUGGAAUGUCAUUUUCAAGAUUGGGAUAGUAAAGAAGCUGGCAUUGCUAACUAGGAUUCCAUCCUAAUUUGGCUAAACUUUUCUUCUUUUCUUCCCAAACCCACCUUUCCUUUUUUUUGUUCCUUUCACUGGCUAGCUGGACUUCACUACAGAUUAGAUUAGAUCCUAAUCUUUUGUCUUGAUUAUUAAUGGAGAGAUGAUUUGUUGAUUUUUAAGAUAAGCUUUGAUUAUUUGUUUAUUCUUUUUUCUUUUGAUUGGAGUGGAGUGUGAGUGAUACAAGAGUCCAAAACGUUUGAAAGUUUUCACAUGUGAUGUGACUCAGACAUAGCCUUCGGUAGCACGUUUGAAAGUUUACCUGUCUGGUUUUUAAAGAGCCAUAUAAUACAAGUUUUGUUUAAAAAAUAACUCAUUUUACACAGCCAGCCUUAAAAAGUUUAGAAAACUAACAUAUUUUAGAUUAUGUCAAGAUAUUGCCAUAAUCGAAAUUGAGUCGAUAUGUGACUUAAUAUGGAGGUUGAGAUGAUGGUACAAAAUUUCGAAAUCUCAAAUAACACUUCGACCUAAUUUUGAUAAUGUCAAGUUCAAAACAAGUUAGUUUCUAAAUUUGAAGAAUUAAAAUAUCUAUUUUUCAAAUUUUUAGGAAUAAGAGAAGGUGAAUUUUGCACAUAUCUCCCCUACCAAAGGCUAAGACUAAGAAUGUCAAGGCACCUUUUGUAGGGGAAGAAAACACUCUAUUAUUGCCAAGGGAAACGUACCAAAACCGACGACGUUUCAUCAACCGCAUAUUUCAUUAUUUUGCCACCAUGUGAUUUUACCUUUUUAGGCUCUCCGCAACGGCUAGUUCCUAGUGACCGUUUCCCGUCUUCCCAAAUUCAAAAUCUGAAAUCGACCUCUAAGUCUAACCCACCAUCAGCUUCACAGUGUGUUUCACUAUACAAACAACGCCCACAAGCCAAAACCAAAAUCACAGCUCUGGCAAUUUGCAGAAACAUUCGAUCUCGCUUAAACCCAUUUAGCAAUUCAAAUCAAGAUCCCAGAAUUUCAAGAAUGGUGUAUUCAUACGCACCCACAUACUACUCUACUCUCCAUGACUCGGUGACCAACUUAUGCAAGACCAUUCUUCCUUUCAGCUUCAAGAAACGGAGGUUGCCAGCUGCAGAGCACAAGCUUUCAAAGCUGCAAUCAGACAAUCUCAAAUGGCAGCAAGACUCUUUCCACCAGAUGUUAAAUUUGAUGGGUCUUCAUAAAGAAGGCAUUUUGGCUGAGACUGAGGUCUCAGCUUUCCGCUCGCAUUUGCUUGACACCCUAAUCGCCUCUCCCACUGAGCGUGAACAAUCGGCUAUAUUGAGAGACAAGUUGCUAUUCUUGCAGGUAAACCAGUCUUCCCUUUUUUCUUCUUCUUCAUUUUCCUUUCUUUCAUUGUGUUUUCUAAGUAACCAAACGGGAAUAAUUAAUUAAUGAAGCUUUAAAUCUUUAGGAACUUUUGUAUGCAAAAUGCAUAUCUGAAGAUGAGUACCAUUCUUCCAAGAGGCCAUUGCUGCAACGAUUAGCAGUACAGGGAGCUGAGAUUGAGGCCAGAGAUGUAAUUGUUGCAGGGCUACCACCUAAGGACCCAAAGGAGAAUACUGAUCAAGAGCAGUGGUCUGUCAUUGACUUAAAGGAUGAGAAAUGCUUGCUAAACAAGGACAAAGAUAAGUCAAAUUCGAAGAACAAAUCGAAGCAUGGCUCUGCAAUGAAGCAAAUUAAAGGAGCAGCUUCAGUUUUGGGCUUUGUAUCACCUUACAAACAGGGGAAAAGCAGAGAAGAAAGGAGCAUAUUCGAUUUGCCCGAGUCGUCGAAAGUGUCUUCCUCUAGCUCUUCUAAGCAUGAAUUAGGAUAUCAUUACAAAGAAAAUGAGGCCAGGUCGAUUCUCAUGCCAGAAAGCUUGCCACAGGAGCCGGUGAAAGAAAGUGGCAGCUCAGAUAGAACAAGGAGGAAACCCUUUAAGAAUCUGUUUCAGAGAGAGCAGAGAGAGGGACAUGGUGUUGGAGGUGGAGGUGGUAAUCAUGGUCAUGAAAAUGAACAAACACCUUCCAAAUCAGCCAAAAAGCAAUGGGGUUUUGAUGGAUUCAAGAAAUGGAAGAGAAGUGACUCGGAGGAUGAGACAACUCCUUUGCCUCUUAAUGAAAGAUCGGAUAGUGAGGUUCACUUGAAGCUUGUCUCAAGCCCCAUGGGUGAAGGGCCGGACACUAAGCUUAUAAAAAGGAAGCUGCUUUCUGAUGGUUCUCCUUCUGAUUUCUUCAUUGAUAAGGUAGCAAAUCUUUAUUUCAAUUUCUUAUUCUUUGGGAUAAUAUUUGAAGCUUGAGCUGAAACUGAACUUGGUCAAUUUGUUCUUAAUAUGAAGGUUUUAGGGGAGAAGAUAAAAAAGGAGCUGUCAAGAAUUCAGACAGAGCUUUGCACUUCAAAUCCAAAUCUUAAAUUUUCGUAAGCCUCUUCUAUUAUCUGACAUUUGGUGACUAUUUAGUAUGUGCAUUGUAUUGAAAAGCAAUCUUUCUUUCACAAAUAUAAUCAGGAAUGACCAAAUCGAAGCGAUUUCCACCAAGCUUCCCGUCGACAAGGCAGACCUGAAGAAGUUCUUUCCCAAGUGAGCAAACUCUCUCUUUUUGUGCUGUUUCAUCCUCCAGUAUUUGAGCAUAUAAGCUAAAACCAUCACACUUACACUUCUUAUUUAUUUAUUUACUCUUUUAUUUUCGAUGUUUAAGGUCAUGGUGUGAUCGGUAUGGAGAUGUUGUUUUGGAUGUGGUGAAAAAAGAAUUCAAGGACCAUGUUGGGGAGAUGGAGAGCUUGAGAAAUGCUGCCAGAGAGAAACAUGGCAUGAACUCAGCUCGAUGGACGACAUUCCAAGACGAUGAGGAGAAUUGUCACCCGAAUCUCUUUGCUUCCGGAGAUCAUUCACACCAUACUUCGAAGUUCCAUGAAACCAAUCCUUUCUGCGAUGAUCACACUCCUAGUGAUGGAAGGAAGCUGAGAUCUAAACCAGCUUUUACACAAGACCACCAGAAUCCCUUUUGGAUCCCAGGGCAUGGCUAUUGAUGAGGACACACAUAUUUUGGGUUUAAUCCCUUUUCUAAGAGUAUUGGUAUUAUCAGUUUAUUGGUGUAUUUUAUUUUGAUUGUCAAAUUGCUGAAUGUGUAUGAACUUUGAGAGAAGAUCUCUGUUCUCCAAGUAAUUCAAACUCUAUGUCUGACUUGUAAAUUUAGGGAAUGUAACAUCCUCCUAUUGUUCGGAAUUUGAUUUGCUCCUGGGGGUUUACCUUUUUUCUAAAUUAGAUAUAUAUCAGCAAUCCAACUCUAAUUUAUCUACUAAUUUAACUCUUUGCUGCAUGCUAAAGGGCCUUGAUACAAAUAUCAAAGAUGCGUUUGAUAGAUGCACAUUCAUACAAUUAUCUCAUUUUCUGCAUCUCUAUACAAGUACUACAAAGCCGCAUCAUGAGAAAAAGAUGCUACAAUAUUGUGGAUCGUGGAAAAUUCUGAUACAAGUUAGUGUUGGAGGACAGAUAACAUGUCAUUGUAAAAGCGAAGAACCAUCAUAACUAUUUACAUCAAUACGUACAAUUAUAUCAAACAGAAGAUAUCUCCGAGUUGGAGACGGAACAGUCAGUGAUGACGCCCUCACGAACAUCUCCUCGGCAAAGUGGACAAACGCUGUAAGAGGGAGGAAAGAGGCAGUAGGGAAAGAACAGAAAGACUUUCAGUAUGAAACAAGGGAAAUGAAGGACAAUCAUUUGAAAGUGGUGGGGGGGCAAUGACAAUACCCGUGUAUCUCUUUGAGCCACUUAUCAACACAUGACAUGUGAUACUCAUGAUGGCAAGGAAGAACUCGAAUUUUGUCCCCUUCCUCAUACUCAGCGAGGCAUAUGUAACACCUAUCAAUUAUUAACUCACCAUGAUCAAACAAAUGCAUUAAAUAAGAAAACACUGAAUCCCACAAAUCAGAAAACACUCAGCAACACCAAACCCCCCCAACCAAGAGAAAAAUAGGCAUAAAUUAAAUAAAACUUACUGUGCAACAUCAUCCCCAGACUUUAAUGUGUCAACCUCUGUGUGACUCUUAAGAGGAAAAGAGUCAACAACAGAUGCAGGGGCAGGGACUGAGACCAUAGAUAGUGAAAGUGACACAGGUUGGCGAUGAAUUUCAUCCAAAACCUGCACGUCAUACAUUACAACAAAAUUAUGUUUAAAAAGUGAUAGUGAAUGAUUGCAUGCAGCUAAAAGCCAUCAAAGAGGCCUCAAAAUGAAUAAUAUACCAAACUCAGACCUAAGUUUUAACCCCAAAACAGGAGAAAAUUACAUAACUACAGGGAUAAUUAACAGCCGCCCCAGGUAAAAAGUGAACAAAACAAAAGGCAAUAACUUAUUUUAUAAAUACCCUCCUCACUCACAUUAUAACCACCAAUGGUUCUUUUUACAAAUCCGAUCUACCAAACAAGAUUCCGGGGGCCACUAGAGGAUUUUAGCUCUAAAAACAAAAGCACAUACAAGACAAGAAUAACAUAACAUGGAACUCAUGGAUCUUAAACCGUUUGAAUUAGUAUAGGUCAAGACCCAAGAAAUUUGAGGACAAUAUGAGAAGACAUAAUCAUGACAAGGAAAGAAAACUAAAACAGAGAAAAUUACCUCAAAUAGAGCUUCAGCAAGCAUGACAAUUCUUGAUAUACUUGCCCGAGUACUAGACUCUUCGGUCAAGAACGAGCCACAUGAGCACAUGCCACGAGGGUGGAUUCCUGUAGGACAGGACGUAUUACGCUGACUAUUGUCAUCAAGGCCAACACGAAGUCUUUCCCAGACCUACAAAGAAGAGUCAUGCCGAUGCAAAUCAAUAAAAGUCAUUGAGAGAACCCCGAAAAAAUAAGAGCUGUUACAAUUCAUAGAUUCUUCGCCCCAUAAAAACAUUUGGAUAAAACAUUUAAUGAAGGAAAUAUUAAAGUACCGUUGAUGAACGACAUGUGAGUAAACAAAUAAAUGAACAUGCAUAUACUGUUGAUACACAUAGGAGCCAAAAAUCUCCCGAAUGAAUGGAACCAAAGAGUCCAAAAAGCCCUAAUUUCAUAUCCAAGUUAAGCCACAUAAUAAACUUUUAAUGUCUAAAAGAUCACCUCGGAUCUAGAAUGCCGUCGUCGUUCAUUUGAGUUGGGAAUUCUAUUGCCCUGGUAACCAGAAUCAGCUCCAAUCCCAUCAUCGAAAAAAUCACCACUCAAACCAAGUAGCCAUCUGUCAUGAAAUCCUAGAUCCUCAGUAUCAUCAGUAGAUAAAAGAAUUGUUGGAGAAUCAAUAAACCUUCUGGAACUGCGUCUUGAAAAUGCAUCCCAGAAUAGUCGUCUGCCAUUCCUUCUGGCCUCACGAUUACUUGCAUCAGCAUUGCUUCUAGACAAAAGGUUGGAAGAAAUACUCAUGACAUCAACAUGAAGUAUACUUCCAUCUUCCUCGCCUUGUUCCCUAUUGGACACAAGGAAUCCUAAACCAGAAGGUAUUGCCUCUCGAAGGGAAUCAUUUCCAAGUGAGUGAAAAGACGAUGGUGUUUCAGAAACACGAGCAGCUUCUGUAUCAGCAUUAGAACUAUGGGCAGCCAUUACUUCAGCCACAUGAUUCUCAACAGACACUUCAGUAGAGCGGGAAUUCCGAAUCCCCUGUGGAGAGGAACUACUUGGACGCAUAACCUCAGGACAGGUCUGAGAUACAUUCUUGUCUGCUGAAUUACCAAUGCCAUUGACUGCAUCCAUAUUAGCGGAACAAUUCACAGAGACUGGGUCUGAAGAUUGUUGUUCUUUAAACGAAGUACUAGCUGUAGUACUAUUAUCCCUACAAGAUUCAUCAUGACUAUAAUCGGCACUUACCUGAUGAGGAGAUACUAGUUCUUUGCUUUUGGACAAGCACUUCCCCUGGUUACUUGUAUGAACACUGCUUAAACCAUCUUCAAAAUAAGUAUUCUGACUGGCUGCAACAGUGCUCUCAGAUGAUGAUCCAAUUUCAAUAAUGGGGCAGGUGAACCGUGCCCCUGUACUGGAGACCAACGAAGUUCCCUCUGUGGAGUUCCGAACUUGAUUAAUAUCCAGAUUACGUUGCUCUGCAUAUUUCACAAGACACUCAGCUGGAUGAUCUUCCAUCUGCAGGAAAAACAACUAAACAAAUCAGUCUCUUUCCAUAAUCUAUAACUACCAAGUACAAAACUAAUUAGAAAUAUAGCUUAUAUCUACUAACUGAAUCAUGAAAUGUUUAAGGAUUCAGGUAGAAAAGGCCAUAUUUAAAUUCGGAACCCUCAAUUAUAUGACCCGAUGAACUAAAUCCCCAACUUUUUUUCAACAAGAGCAUCACAACGAUAAUGGGGACAAUAUUUGCGUUUACAGGUAAAUGAUAAGUCAAAGAAUAACUACGAUAUUACCGAGCACGGGGCCAACCUACUGCAUCAGCUGGCCAAAUCCCAUAUCAUUUUUCUUCGAUUGCAAAUUGAAUUUGAGGAAAAUAAAACCCCAAAACAACUUAUUUUAAAGAAAAAUGCUUAAAAGGCUUUAAAACUUGCACUGGUUUGUUUCAUGAUUAUGAUAGAGGUAUCUAUAUUUUGCACCAGAUGAUGAAAUCCCAAAUCAUCGAAAAACCAAUAAAAAUCGAAUUUUGCAUUCAAAAAGGUCAAAAUGAUGAGAAAUCCAAAAAUGGGUAUUGAAAAUUGAAUUAAAGACAUCAAAUUUAGUGGACGACGAUGAAGAAGAAUAAGAAGAAGGUACCUCGUAAGUAGAACGUGAGGAGGAGCCACCACAGACGAAAGAGGAGAGUAUGGAACGAUUGGUGGUGCGAUUGACUCGGGCCCGUGAUGGGCGGGAGCCCAGUCGACUACUGCUCGAACCCAUUUUAGAGAUUAGAGAGAGAACGCUUGAGAGUUAAGAAGUGGAGGAGGAGGAUGUUGUUGAUGAUAAUUGAAGCACACCAGCUGAGAUAGAGAGAGAGAGAGAGACAGAGACAGAGAGACUCAAGAGGAAGCUUUCUUUCUUUAUUUCAAAUUCAAUUAUUUUGUGGACUUCCGUAUCAUUGCGGUAAAGACUUUUUUUAAUAUUUCUUUUGCCGGAAAAAAGACUUUUAACUAGUAAAUAUGUUCCUCUCCGCGUCAACAUAUUUUAUUGUCUAUGAAGAAUUACACUUACUUAUUUUUUAGUACAAGUAAAUGUGGAAAAAUUGGCUGAAAACCUAACAUGAAAUAUUUGAGUCUGAAAAUAUUAAGGAUCCACCAAACCGGUCAUGGGUUUUUGGGCUGAAGUCAACUUCUUAGUAUGAUUGGGCUCUCGAGCUCGUUGGAAUUGUAUACUUUGCCAAGCUUGAUCCAUCAAGUUUUUGGGCCUUACUCGCCGAGUUUUGGCCCCAAGACAUUUAAAACGAAAAAAAAAAAAGGAAGUUUUAAAGCCGAGUCAUGGCAUGCCAUCAUUGCCAUGUGCUGCGUGCACAAUAAUAAUUGAAGCACAGUACAGCUUGUGAGAGAUGGGGGGUACGUGGUUUGUUUUUGGUCGAAGGGAGGGUUACGUGGUUGGUUGGAACUUGGAAUAUAUAUACGUCCGAAUCUGACAGGGGAGUCUGUGGAUAUAUGACAAUGACAUGAUCAAUUUAUGGCCAUGUAAUUUGUAAUCAGAAAUAAAGUAGAAAAGUAGUUUGGGUUAUGACUGAUCGAUAUGAAAUUGGAAUUGAAUUGUAGGUAGGAAAAGGAUCAUGCAUUAGACUAGUAGCUGAUGAAGAUGAAAGACACGUUUGCCCUCUACAGAAGAAGCACCAUUCUGCCCUAGCUCAGCUUUAGCUUUUUAUAUAAUUUAUAGCCACGAACCUACUUCUACUUGUGUGUGCAUAAAGAAAGAGCAAAAGCACUUUAUUCACUGCUAUAAAAUCCAAAUCCAAUUCUUAAUCUUAAUCCAGCAUUAUAGAGAUCGAGAAAUAUGCCAGACCAUCCACCACCACCGCAGGGGCACGGGCAUGGUCAUCCAGGUCCUCCUCCUGGUCCUCCUGGUCAACCUCCUCCUCCGGCGCAAGGCGGCCAUGGCCCUCCUCCUCCUCAGCCAGGACCCCCUUCAGCUCCCCCUGGCCCUCCUGAACCACACAAGCCACAUCCACAUGAUCCCCAUCAUGAUCAUUGCCACCACCACCACCACCCAUGAAUCUUCAUCUAAUAUGUAUGCAUGCUAGCUAUAUAUAUAGCUUGCUAAGCAGAGGUGUUGUAAUUAUAUAUGUAAUUUCUAGUUUUAACUAGCUUGCUCUCAUCUCAUCUCAUCUCAUCUCAUCUCAUCUCAUCUCAUCUCAUGAUCAUGGAUUGUAAUGACAUUAUCGGCUCUAGCUAGCUAAGAAAUCACUAUCACAGUGUGUUUAUGUACCAAAAAAAGGAUGCUGAUUAUCCAUCUAAAAUAAUAAUGAGAUGACUGAUCUUGUGGGUUUUCCUUUCACUUUUGUUUGGUAAUAACUGACAGUUUUUCCUUUGUUUUACACCAAAAUUCUUUUCCCAAGAAAGAACUUGCAAAGCAGAGCAGACCAAAAAUGCUUAGCAAAGCCAAAAACCCAAACUAACAAGGCAAUCCACAGAGGACAGCAUGAUAAUUAUUCUUCUUUUAUAAUUUGAUAUUUGACUUCAUAAAUGAAUAUAUCUUAAUUAACUACUGCUGCAAGAAAGUGAACAAAAGAAGUGCAUAACAUGGUGGUGUUAAGUGCUCACCCCAGGUUCAUUGAGUUUUUGAAGUACGAAAAAAAAUAUAUAAAAAUAAAAUAAAAUUAUAUAUAUAAGCUAUUGUAAAUAUUAGGCAGAAACUGUUAAUUAAGACAUCUAAUUAUCUCUAAUAAAAUCAAUGAACAUAGUGCUUUAAGAAAAUAUUAAAAUAAUAUUAUUGUUUAAUUGAGUGGUCAAAUGAAAUAUAAAUCCAAAUGAUGUUAUGCAUAGAUGAUCUUUAAAUGAAUACCUAAAAAAUAAACGAUUAAACUAAUUAGGAUAAUUGAAAUACAAUGCAAAAUAUGCCUUACGAAGUGUUUCUCAAAUAAGCCUAUUUAACUGAAAUUCUGUGUAUAUAUAUAUAUAUAUAUAUAGUGCCCCGAAAUUAGAAGAUGUAUGUAUAGUAAUAGUAUAUAUAUCAUCCUAAUUUUUGCGACCUAUAUAGAAAAGUUAAAGAUGAUGUUGGUAUACGCAUAUGAUGUUGUGGUUGUUGGUGUUGUCCUAUCCUAAUUCAGAAGCUUUUCUUUUCUAAAAUAAAAGUGGGGCCGUUGGAGGUCGUUUUCCACUUCAAGUGGGUUUUGCCGACGCCGUUUCCAAUUUCCUUAGACUUGUACUUUUCUCUUUAACAUUAUUACCAAACAAUUUCUUUGUUUUAUCUUGAAAAAGAUGUAAUUAAUAAUAACACAGCAUGGCCCUUUCUUUUCCUUAUGGAGGAAAAAUUACUAGAUUGUUUUAUCUUGAAAAAGAUGUAAUUACUAACAGGAAAAAAAAAACAAAAUUUAUUUUGUCCUCUUUUAAGUAGCUAGAUGGAUAGGAUAGAAUUAUAUAUAAUUAAUAGGAAAGAUCUUUAUUUUUCAUUUUUUAUGUGGCACCUCUUUACGGUGAUGAAAAUCAUCUAGCUAGUGAGGAUGUGGACAUUGCUUUGUGUUUUGUAUUACCGACAAUAAAUAUUGCAUUAUAAAAGCCACUGCUUUCUUCAACAAUUCGCCACAUCAACAUUCAACCGCUCAACAAGUAAGAAUCACACCAAGAGUAAGAGUCUCUCUGCAACUGCAACAACCAAUUCAAGAAGAUGCACCGCCCAGGAGCCGGCCCUCAUGAUCAUGGCCAUGGACCUCCAGGCGGCGGUCCAGGAGGCCAAGGUGGCGGUCCUGGAGGCCAAGGAGGCGGUCCAGGAGGCCAAGGAGGCGGGGGUCCAGGAGGCCAAGGCGGAGGCGGUCCAGGAGGCCAAGGCGGAGGCGGUCCAGGAGGCCAAGGCGGAGGAGGUCCAGGAGGCCAAGGGGGUGGCGGUCCAGGAGGACAUGGCGGAGGAGGUCCAGGAGGACAUGGCGGAGGCGGUCCAGGAGGCCAAGCCGGAGGCGGUCCAGGAGGCCAAGGCGGAGGCGGUCCAGGAGGCCAAGGUGGAGGCGGUCCAGGGGGGCACGGUGGCCGCUGAUAAGUUAACGAUGACGGGCAACAAGACUUGUGGUGUACUAAUAGCUAGUAGUACGCAGUCUAUAUAUGAUGAUAUAAUGAAGUUGAUGAUGAGAGUAAUUAGCUGAUAUAAUGAUAAUGUUGUGUUUGUUAUUAAUUAGUAAUGUUUUUCUAAUCAUGUUGGGUGAGAUCCUUCCCUUCCCCGGCCAUCUCCAGUAGCUCAGUUUCAGCUAACUGGAGAAGAGGAGGGCGGUUUAUGUAAUACUAGUGUAUGAUGCAUGCAUAUAACAAUAAAAUGAAGAUGAUAUAUACGUUGCCCUUCUAUUCGUUUUAGUGCUUUAUAUUUGUGUGUGUGAGAAUGAGUCUUUUGGUUUUUACUUUCACUUUUGUUUGGUGUAACCUACAGUUUUUACUCUGUUUUACACCAAAAUUCUUUUCCCUUGUGUUUUUGUUUUUUAAUACGUCAAGAAAAGAACUUGCAAAGCCAAAAGGCCCGACCUGCACCCAGGACGAUAUUCAAUAUUAAUAUACCACAACUAAUUAACUAUAAACCAAAUUAACAAGGCAAUCCAUAGAGGACAUCAUGAUAAUUAUUCUUAUUUUAACAAACCUUAUAUAAUAGUUAUUUUCGGAAGUCUACAAAGUUAUUAUUGUGCCAAUACUAUUGUAAAUAAAAAAGAAAGUAAUGAAGAAUAUUAAAAAAAUACAUGACAUCCACACAAUAAUAACGUCUAAACGUUCGUAUAUGAGAAUUUCUCUAUAUAUAAUGGCAAGAAAAUGAAAGAUAUAGAUUGUUCUAAUUUGAAAUUUGAUAAAAACAAACAAAAGGCUUCGUGUGAUGCACAUGUAACAUGUUUCAGAUGGACAGUAAAUGUUCUUGUAAUAAUAUUGUCCUCUUUAGUCAUUUUAUAGUAGCUAGAUGGAUAAGAAAGAAAAUAUCUUUUAUAUGUGGCACCUAUUUACGAUGAUUGAAAAGCAUCUAGCUAGCUACCAUGUGGAAGUCGCUUUGUACCGGCAAUAAUAUUGCAUUAUAAAAUCCUACUGCUUUCUUCAACAAUUCGCCACAGCAACAUUCCACAACUCGACAAAGUAAGAAUCAACUCCAAAAUAGUCUCUCCGCAACUGCACUGCAACAACCAAUUGAAGAUGCACCGCCCCGGCCAUCAUGAUCAUGGCCAUGGACCUGGGGGCGGUCCAGGCGGACCAGGCGGCGGUCCGGGAGGACCAGGUGGACCAGGUUCCCAUGGACCUCCAGGCGGCGGUCUAGGAGGACCGGGAGGACCAGGCGGGGGUCCAGGAGGACCGGGAGGAGGUUGGGGAGGACCAGGAGGACCGGGAGGCGGUUGGGGAGGUCCAGGAGGCGGUGGUCCAGGAGGACCGGGCGGCGGUUGGGGAGGUCCAGGAGGCGGUGGUCCAGGAGGACCGGGAGGAGGUUGGGGAGGACCAGGAGGCGGUGGUCCAGGAGGACCUGGCGGCGGUGGUCCAGGAGGACCUGGCGGCGGUGGUCCAGGAGGCCUGGGAGGCGGUGGUCCAGGAGGCCCGGGAGGCGGUGGCCCAGGAGGACCAGGCGGCGGCGGUCCAGGGGGACAUGGUCGCUUCUGAUGGGCAACAAGACUUGUGGUGUACUAGUAGCACGUAGUCUAUAUAUGAUGAUAUAAUUAAGUUGAUGAUGAGCGUAAUUAGCUAAUAAUGAUGAUGUUGUGCUUGUUAUUAAUUUCUAGUUAGAGUUUUGGUAAUCAUGUUGGGUGAGAUCCUUCCAUUCCCCGGCCAUCUCCAGUAGCUCAGUUCAGCUAGCUGGAGAAGAUAAGGGCGGUUCAUGUCAUACUAGUACUACUGUAUGAUGCAUGUAAUAUAUAACAAUAAAAUUAUUAUGAUAUGAUUAUGUUGCCCUUCUAUUCUUUAUAUUUGCGUCAGCGAGACAGUGAGAGAUUGCUCUUUUAUUAUAGACUACCGAUUGAUAUGUUUAUCUUUAUUCUUCAUAGUUAUAUAUAUAUAUAUAUAUAUAUAUAUUAUCUAACAUAUAUAUACAUUUAAACGAACUUUAAAUUUAACUGAAUACACUUUAAUAUUUAAAUUAAAAUAUAAAAUUAAUCAAAAAUAUUUUAUUUAACUAUUAAAAAUAUUCAUGAUAUACCAUAUCACACAACACCAAACUCAUUCGAGAGCUAGCUGCUGCAUUUCUCCUUCACACAAACUUGGUGAUAUAAAGAUAUCAAAGGGGGAUUUGCUGUGAUCGUGAUAGAGAAAUUUUUAUGUUACUCUUUUAAGGUUGCUAAAUUCGUUAGAGAGGAGCAGGGUAUAUUUGGACUGAUAUGAUCAAAGCUUUGCAGUUUCGGCUUAACUAGCCUUUGAUUAAAGGGCCUUCUACAGCUUCUUUUUCAUUUUUCUGAUUUGUAAUAAUUCUGUGAAGGACAUGGUGUAAUUAGCUAACUCUUGAUUGGGUUUGAAUGAGUCGUAGUGAAGCCAAGUUAUAUUGUUUUCUAUUUUGAGUCUGGCUUUUCUGGUCUGGAGGCUUUGAAGUUGAUACUGGUAUUAGGUGACUUGCCGAUGGUUCUUUGAUUCAUCAGUCGAUCAAAUUUUCAGAUGAAGCAAAUUGUUACCAAAGCUUCUUCUAUUACCCAAAAAGCAAAGAAUGGUUUGGAAACUCACACAAUGGUAAUGGUAGGGUGUACUUAGUAACAUUUGUUUCACAAUCAAUAUAUCUUUUAUGGUAAUUUUAUAUUAGAGUAAAUUAGUAAUUUAAUGAAUAGUUUAGUAGUAGAACGUACUCAGUUAAUUUUAAAGUUCGUUUAAUAGUAUCCUUGAUUUAUCGGCUCGUUUAGAUUACAAAUUUUGAAGAAAUUAAGGUAAAAUGGUAUAGCAAAGAAGAUAUAUAUUUGAGGUGAAGAUGAAGAGUGGCAUGAAGAACCAGUUUGUUGUCAAUCAAGAUUCAAAUAGUUGCCAUCAGAACUUCUAUGUGAUACUUUUUAAAAUUAUGAUCACCUAAUGUAGAUUGCAGAGCCAUUGGAGAGAGGACUUGCGGAGGACAUUGACACAAGGUACCUAACAUUCUAUUAGACGAUACACUUCCAACUGAAGUUGACAAAAGCUUGCUGAAUGCUGUGAAGGAUUCGAUUGUUCAAGGGUAUUUGAAAUGAAUUCUUCUUCUUUUGCCGGUUAUUGUUGUUUCAGUUUAUUGCUUACCAUAAUGUUAUGGUGGACAGGUUUCAGUGGGGGAGCUGUACAUAGAUUUUCUGAUUGAUUUCUGAUGCUGUUGUUUCAGACGACUGUUUUUCUGCAAUCUACACUGUUCUAUCUCGCAGGCGUGGGCUUAUAUUGUUACUGUUUUUUGGUAUCCUCCUAAUUCCAUACAAAAAUAACAAACCAGUAACAUUGAGAUUGUUCUUCUCUGUAAUCCAAAGGUGGAUCAUGCUUCUGCUACUGCUGCUGCUGCUUGCUAAUUAUUUUUUCACUUUAAAAUUCAACUGAGAAUGCCACUGCCACGUUGACAUCACACACAGAUGGAUGCUCUUGCUGCUGUAAAUGCCAAUGAGAUCCAUUUCUGCGUUACGCGGCACCUUCCAAAAGUAUAAUUAAACCAAAUAUUCGUCCUCAAUGGGCAAUUAUUUUCAGAUACGACAAACGACCCUAUGGCCAAUUCGCAAAUAUUCCAAAAUACAUAAUGUCGUUUAUUUACUUUUUACGUUUGCACUUGUGGUUCACAUGUGUUUGAAAGUCAAAGCACAACCACUCUUAUCUUCCCCUUUCUUUCCGUCUCUCCAAAAAUUCUCCAGUCUCUCAGCAUCUCACCAGCGAUGGUGAAGACGAGAAAAUGAAAGAGCUUAUCAGAGCUCUGGUGGAAGACUUAGAUAUUGGAUCACACGAAGCCAAUACUGUAGCUUCGUCGUCACCUUCUUCCCCUCUGCUUACGACCCUCCGCCUCAAUCAGAGAUUGAUAGGAAAAGAUCAGGUAAAACAUUAGGGUUUUAUACAUUUUUCCUUCUGUUUUUAUUUUUUGCAGUCGGUGAAUUCUCUGUGCAACUAAAAACUCCAACAUUUUGGAUCCACCAUCUUUCUCCGUAAUUAUAGUUACUGUAUAUCUGAGCAUUCUGUGUAGCUUUUUGUGUGUAGUACUAAUUGCAAAAUAUUGAGUUCAAUAGACAAUGCAAUCCAAAACCUCAAGCCUAGCUCCAGCUCUCAACUAUUUCCCAACCCUCAAACCCCCACACAAAACUCUAGCUUUCCACCAAUUUUCAGUCCUUAUCAUCACCUUCCUUGCCUAUGCUUCGUUUCAUGCCUCUAGAAAGCCCCCAAGCAUUGUCAAGAGCGUGCUUGGACCCACAAUUCAGUCCAAUACCAGCUCAGCCGAUACGGGGUGGGAUCCCUUUAACGGUCCCCAUGGUGCCCACAGGCUAGGAGAGCUUGAUCUUGCAUUUCUUUCUGCGUAUUCGAUUGGAAUGUACUUUGCAGGGCAUGUCGGUGAUCGGAUUGAUUUGAGGUUGUUUCUCGUGUUUGGGAUGAUGUGUAGUGGCAUUUUAACAAUAUUCUUUGGGUUAGGAUAUUGGUUUGGUGUUCAUUUGUUGGGGUACUUUAUGGCUGUUCAAGUACUUUGUGGGUUAGUUCAGUCAAUUGGGUGGCCUUGUGUGGUAGCAGUAGUGGGAAACUGGUUUGAGAAAGAAAAGAGGGGGUUGAUCAUGGGGGUCUGGAGUUCACAUACCUCAGUUGGAAACAUUAUUGGUUCAGUUGUGGCGUCUGGGGUUUUGGAAUUUGGAUGGGGUUGGUCCUUUGUGGUGCCUGGGGUUUUGGUCAUUUUGGUAGGCAUUUUAGUGUUUUUGUUUCUUCCCGUGAGUCCAGAACACUUGGGAUUUGAGUCUUUGGUAAAGGAGAUUCAGAUGAAUGUGGAAGUUAAAGGCAUAGAGAAUUUGGAGGGAAAAGUGGAAUCAGAGGAAGCAGGUCUUCUUGGAACAGAGAAUGCAGAUGUCAAUACAGGUGCAGAUUCUUUGGCUGCAAUUGGCUUUUUGGAGGCAUGGAGGUUACCGGGCGUGGCACCAUUUGCUUUCUGCCUAUUCUUUUCAAAGCUGGUGUCUUACACUUUCUUGUACUGGUUGCCCUUUUACAUAAGGCACACAGGUACUUCCUCCAGUUAGAUUUUUAUAUAUGACUUUGAAAUUGAAUUGUUGGGAUCAUCUUUUGAUAUCCCAUUAUGGUUGAACUGCUUCUUUGGAUUUCAUGUUUGAGUUUUUUUGUUCAAAUACACCAUCAUGGAUUGUCAUGAAAAUGGCCGUCCUCAUCACAAUUCACAAACAAUCCAGAGCAUUUAAAAUUGGACACAUAUUGCAGUUCUAUACUCUUAACUGUAACAGCGCCUAUGUUUGUAUGUGUAUGUCUUUAAAAUCCAAAAUUACCCUAGGAGGAUUAUCUUCUCGUAUUCAUCAUAAAUUUUGUUUCGCCUUGCAGCUGUUGCUGGUGUGCAUUUGUCACACAAAACUGCUGGGAAUCUUUCAGCCAUAUUUGAUAUUGGAGGAGUCUUCGGUGGAAUUUUAGCUGGAUUGAUAUCUGAUAUGAUUGAAGCUCGAGCUGUAACGUCAAUUGCAUUUUUGUUGCUUUCGGUUCCGGCCCUUGUUUUCUACCGGGUAUAUGGAAGCCUAUCUAUGGUUGCCAACAUUCUUUUGAUGUUUCUUUCUGGAUUGCUGGUGAAUGGCCCAUAUUCACUAAUUACCACAGCCGUUGCUGCUGAUCUUGGUACCCAGACAGUGAUCAGAGGAAAUUCCCGUGCAUUAGCUACUGUAACUGCAAUUAUAGAUGGUACAGGUUCUGUUGGGGCGGCUCUUGGCCCACUUUUAGCUGGGUAUAUUUCCACCACAGGGUGGAACAAUGUAUUUCUUAUGCUAAUUUUUGCAAUUUUCUGUGCAACUUUGUUUUUGAUUCGCAUUGCGAGAACGGAGAUCAAAGGAAAUUUGAAUGAGGGAAAAUGGUCUUUAUAUAGCGUAGGCACACAGUGAUUGAGAUUUUCUCAAGGCAUAUCUUUUUUCUUUUUUUUUCUUUUGUCGUUCUUGUCAUACCAGAAAUGUAGAUUUCAUUCAGAGAGGGGCUAUUGGUGGGGUCAUUUGUGUAUGUUUGUAUCUCAUUGUUUUGUAGCUCAUUCAUUGUUCCAGCUUGUUGGGUUUCUUACCUACGUAGAGAUACGGCUAAUUAAUAAUAAAAAUUCUUCGACGGUUUGGUUCUAUGUUUCUCGUCUCUUGCCUUCUUCCAUCUCGAGUCCCAAAUUCUUUUUGCUCAUUGUAUUGAAUCAAAUUGGUCUCAUAUUAGCGACAAUUAAUCAAGAAGCGUGUAAUUAGCUGUUCCAGUAUGUGAAAUUAAAGUUGCACACAGCAGAAGCAGCCCAUGAAGAAACAAAUGUAUGAUGUUUUGAGCAGUCAAAUAAAAAGCAUUUUAUGCGUCGCUGGCUUUUCUGGUUACAUUAUACAUUCAAAAACCAGUAGGAUGAUCAGAAAACUCCACAAAGGUCAACAAAUCCGAUCAUCAAGGGCAAAGGAACGCACGCACAGUUUUAUAACGAAGUGAAGCUUAAACCUUGGACUUUGUAUAACAAUUAUAAGUAUUACAAAACAUGGAAGGAGUUCUGACAAAUAAAUGUACACUACACAUCUGCAUAUACCUUGAAAAACAAAGGUACAAUAACAGAACAGCCUCUCCACAAAAUCAGGCCUGCCUGUCUACCUCAGUUAUACAACACAAAAUAAGAUUUUAACUCCAUUCUCUGCCAAUAGGGUACAAGUGGUUAUUCCAAAGCCUGAUGAUACGAAUGUCUUCUUUAUCCUUCCAUCUUCUCUGGAACAGAUUGGUGCACCGGAUAUAGAAGGAAGCAAAGUGGCAGUCCCUUUCUGGAUGAAUAUAUAUAUACACAAGCCGAACUCCCAUCCAUUUUCUAAGUAUUAUUGCUACCGGUUCGGACCUUUGCCCAUCAAGGGAACAUCAACUCAUAAACAAGUAAUUCUAUUCUUCUAAGAAGAAUUUGAGAUUCUGAAGUCCUUCAGCAGAAAUGCUUCGUCUGACUCUAGACCUCUCUACCACCACAUGUGGAGGAGGCUCCAAGUGGAAACUCACCAUAACCAGUGUCAAAUUAUCGCUUGCUCCACGCUUUAUUGCCUCCUCUACUAUUUCCUUGCAGCACAACUUCACAUCAUUGUGCUCUUGGAGUCUCCUUCGAGCAAAAUCAACAGCAUUUUGGCUGGUGAACAUCUCCCAUAUUCCGUCACUACCAAUGAUCAAAAACUCAUCAUCCUUGGUCAGUGUCAUUAAUUUGAGUUCUGGUUCAGCACUUAAGGGUCCUCCCCUUUCACCCCCACCCUUCAUUCCUUCAAGAUGCCAAUCACCUAAUGCACGGGUGACACCUAACUGACCAUUUAGAUAACCAUCAUCAAUAUAUCCACCCAAGGAUUCAAUCCGCAUUCUUUCUUUUGUGCAGCAGGGCCUAUGAUCUUUUGACAUUUCUACAGCCGCUCCACAUCGUGACAAUACAGCCCGGCAAUCUCCAGCAUUUGCCACAAGCAAAGACCUGUCCAAAAGGGUAAUUAUAAGCUGAAGCAGACUAGUUGUCACACAAAAGGUCUGAUAAAAACAAAGUAAGCAGUCCCAAGAACGGGGCAUGAGAAUAGCCAAAAGUGCAUAGAUGUAAGAUAAUUAAAUCAAAUGGGGAGAUAUAGGGUGCGGUCAUUCUGAGCCAUUAUGAUCAGUUCAGUCUUCAAUCUCACUAAUCCCGAGUUGCGACCAAGAUUGGGUCACACAACAUCAGUUUUCUUUACUAUUUUUAUUUCUUGUUUUGCUCAUGCAACAGACACAAUUCAUUCUUCAGCAUGACACCACACGAAUUAGCUGAUUAGAUUUUCUCUUAUUCUUUAAUCUGAUGGCCUUGCAGUAAUGAUUAUUUAAGACAUUACUGUUGUAAGUCAACACCUUUAUUACAGAUGACAGUCAACCUACACCGGAAGAAAGAGUCCCCUUACCUCCCAAAUAUCAUUGCAGUGAGUGCAGUUGUUCCAGAUGCAUGGGAAGACUCAAGGGAGCACGUUUUUGCAAAUGCAGCGUCUGUCUCCAUAAAUGACCUUGUUAUCACCUUUUCAAGUUCUAAUGGAAAGUCAGCAUCCUCAACAACUACUCUUGGCAAAUUGUCACGAACAAAUUGUGCUGCAUCCUUUCCUCCAUGGCCAUCAAAUACCUGUUUUUUAUUUUUUAAAUUGCCAUUUACAUCAUCAAAAUCUGAUAAAAUAAAGAGUCUGGAUUGUUAUGCAUGAGCUUUCAUUAAACUGUUGCAAGUACCCUUAAAGUUGUAAAAUUUUGAUUGAACUAUUUAGAAAUUGUCCAAAAAGCCUUUCUUCAUAUUAUUGUUCUCAUUGUAACCAAACCUUGAGAAGUGUUGGGGAUGGUUUGAAUUGUUAUACAAUGGAAGAAGGUGAGAAAACUUACACCAUAGAAGGAGAUAGCUCCCUCACUGAGUACAUUAUAAUCAAACUUUUUAGCUAAGUCACCAAUGCAUAUAUGAGUAUCCUCCAUAUGGGUUCGACCCCCAAUGUCAGACCACUCUCCUGACCGAAGGGAAGGGAACAAGUUCAGCAGGCUCUGUUUUCUGUCUACAACCACUGUAUCCUCACAUAUGCUUUCGAGCUAAAAGACCAACAACAUGAUGGAACUUGAAUCAGAAUGUGACGGAUUGCAAGUUAACAGGUCAAGGAAACAGAUUUCGGAAACACAAGAAAGUAAAUUAGGAAAUUUUUUUCCAAGUAUAAUAUCAACACUCUCCUUGGAAAAAAUGUUCUCAAACCAGAAAAUGAAACUCAAAUCAAUCACAAAAGUUUACAUUGCAUCGAAACAUCAACAUCAUCGGGUUUCCCACAAAAUUGUGGGAUAUUGAAAAACUGUAUAAUGUUGUGAAAUAUCAAAAUCUGUCAACGCAUAAAGAGUAACAUAAAAUGUAAUACAAGACAAGGAACUCAAGGAGCAGAUAAUAAAAGAAGAGAUCCACUACAACACAAUCCAAUAAAAAAAAAACCCUUGAAAAGCAAGAACGUUAGUCAUCACCAUCCGGCUGUGCAGAGCACGAUAAGGAAGUAAAUAAUUUUUGUAAAUGAAUCACCUUCCGACAAGUGAAAGCAAAACAAAGAAUUGCAGCUUAGCUUACUAAAUAGGAAAAACAAUUUCCAAAACAACUGUUUCCCAAAAUGAACUGAAAAUUAGCAGAGCAUGAUUAAGAAAAUAGGAAUUCAAGCAGAAAACUUUCGUGCAUGAUGCAGUAUAAACUAAUGACAACAGUAAAAUUUUGUAGUCUAAGUAAAAUUAUUGAAUAGUGCAAAGAUACAAAAAUGAAAUUGUAAUCACGACAGGCCAAAUGAUUGAAAAAAACAUAAAGAGCAACAACCGGACCACGACCAACUACACACAAAUCCAAUUACAGAAAGAAAAAAAAAUCACAAAGAAAGACCGGCAAAAGAAAGUUUUGUCAAUCAUCAUCACAUAAGAAAACAAAGACCCAGAACUCAAUUUCAACCGAAUGAUCCUAAAAAGUUACAAAAUUGAGACAACCCCAAUAAAGCUAAGCAGUCAAAGAAGAAGAAUUUUUACUUGAAAUGAGUUUAACAUGGUUUUCUGAAGACUGGAGCUGAUGAAAGGAGUUUCCUUGUCCAAAUUGUCCGUCUGGUUGUGCAAGAUUUCACAUUGCAAAGGCCAGUGCUUGUUAUUGUUGUUGGUAUUGAUGUUAUUAUUCUCCAUAUUCCCCAUUUCUUGACCAAGCUGUUCUGCGUCUAUCAAGCACAUGCUUAUGAUGAAAAUGAUAAUGGGUGUGCUCUUCUUAGUGCUCAGUUUCUUAGCGAGUUGCUGAGGGAAUCGGAAAGUAGUAGAAGAUGCAGAGAAAAAGAAAGAUAAAUUUGUGGUGAGAAGAUUCUGAAAAUAUUUGAGUGGAAUGAGGGCCUCUGUUUAUUGUAGUAGUAUUCAGAGAGAGGGAGAGAGAGAGAGAGAGAGAGCGAGAGAAUGAGAAUUCCAGAUUUUUCUGUGAAAGCGUGGCUGAAAAUCGGCUUGUUUGCUGGGUUCUUUGAUAUUAUUCUAUCUUUUCCUCAUUUUCAAUAUUGAAAUGCAGACCCAAAAAACAAAAAACAAAAAAUCCAAGUGCUUUCAUUUGCUAAAUAAAAAACUGUAAUUCAAUAUUCAGAUUAUUUUUGGCAAUUCAAAAAAUGUAUUAAUUUGACUAAAAUGAGAGGAAUGAAUGAUUAAUGAAUAUGACAUCUAAAGGAAACAAAAAGGUGUCCCAUUUGAUAACGUAUUUCUUAACCACUAAUAUAAUUCAUGAAUGUGGUCUUUAAGUCUUAACCACCAGUAAAAUCCGUGGCUUCAUAAACCCUUUUUGACAAGAUAUUAUUGGAUUGGAUGCGUUGCGCAUAUCCGAUCCACCAUCAUAUGCCUUUCUUUUUCUCUUCUUUUUUUCGAUGGACACAUCUGCCUUUCUUUUUGGUCAUAAUAAGCACAUCUGCCUUUCGUUUCACAUUCAUUCACAAUCACAACAGUGGAAUUUAUUUUUUAAGUGCACUAAUAUUAUAUUGGCAUGCUUAUUUAAGAAGUAAAAUAAUUCAAGAAAGGUUUUGCUUGCCAGAAUUAAUAAUUAAAAAAAAAUCUGAAGAUAGGGUUUGGAUAGUUUUCCAAGAUAUAUGCUAGGUUUUGUUAUAAAUAAAGCACAAGACAAACGAGUAGGAGUGGGUAGGUUUGAGACAUUAUCUGCAAAACCAUAAUUUGUCUCAAGCCUAAUUAAUAAGUUAAAAGACAAGUUAUAUUAGGAAGUUUGUUUUUGUUUAAAUGGGGCAAAUAAUUCCUCCAAAAAGUUUGAAAGUGAAUUAAAUGGGAAAAUGAUGAUGCAUGUAAGGAGGAGCUGAUAUUAUUAUGUUUUGCUUGCCCUUUGCCUCUUUCAACUUUCAACGGAGGUCUACUAUACCAUCCACUUCUCUGCAACUUGCCCACUAACACCAUCUUUUUUACAUUUUAAACUCAAUUAUUUUCACAACUCACUGCACUAGACUUGUAAUUUUCCCGUCAAUUAAUUAUUAUUAUUAUUAUUAUUGGUCUCCAAUUUAUUAUUAUUAUUAUUGGUCACAUUGGAGAGGAAAGAAAUCCUUGAAAUUUCGAAUCUGAAUGCCAUGGAGGAAGGGAGAAUCCACUGCCACUUUGGUAGGAACCAUUGGCAAUUAUUUUCAGUUUGCCUAAAAAAGCUUCAUUAUUUGAAAAAAUGGGGUUAGGUUUCCAUGCUUUAUUAUUAUUAUUGGUGUCAUACUCAAGCACUUUUUCCAUGAGAAAGUCAAUCAAGCAAAGCCAAAGAAAGGAGGAGCUCUUCUUCUUCUUCAGGACACUUUCUUUAUACUUUAAAAAAGGAAUCUUCCUAGUAGGCUGCUUGCUUACUCAACACCAAGUGAGACCAAUACGUGGCCUGGUGUCAGUGGGUGCAUCCUGACGUGGCACAACCUUGUCCACCGGAUAUUAUUAGUGCAGCUUGCGGUGGUGUUGCCCAUCCUGCAAAGCUAUUAACUUGGGUUGAGAGAUAUGGGCCUUAUUAUUUCUUGGGUUGGGUUAGUGUGGUAUCUGGGUUGGCUUUAUCGUAAACAAGAAUUUCAUACCCACUUUGCUGCCCAUACCAUUUUAUUUUUGGGCUUCCACAAAGACAACUUGGUAUGCACUCAACUCGCACCAUUAACAAAACAAAAUUAGCCAUCGUUUCAGUAGCCGGGGUGGUGCAGUACUAGCACGCACACGGCAGACCUGGUGGUUGUGGUAACAGCUGCAACUACAAUGACAUAAUUGCAAUGUUCAUCGGACUCCACGACAGAACAUAUGCAAUAAGAACUUGUGCCCAAGCAUGUCCAUCCAAAAAAUAACUCAUAACAUUAGCAUUUUCUAGCAAGGUGCAGUAGUCAUUUCAACUCAAAGGACACUAUUGAUGAUGCAAAUUAUUAGGAUCUGGAUUGGGAAACAAACAAUUGAAAUAUGCCUAUUUUGAUACCAUGGGGAUCUUCAAAACCACAAAAUUUAACCAUUACAUCAAAAAUCGAUGGGGAGAAGAAGGUGGGUGAGAACAGGGGGAAGCUACUAUAUCUCCUCAAGUCUAUAACAUAAUCAGCUUGCCAAAACCAAAAAUGCCUUCAGCACCAGCCUACCACAAAAAUCAGAUACCAAAUCAAAUUCCAGUGAAAGCCUUCUUGCCAGCACCAGAAGAUCCAGCAGGGGUCACCUUCAAGACAUUGAACCUCUUAGUCUUGGACAAUGGCCUGAACAAUCGGAAAACAAAAUCAACAAACAAACAGAAAUGAGAGUGUUGCCCACAGGCCAAAGUAUAUUCAUAAGGAGGCAGUGAAGAGAAGAAGAGCUUGUAAGGCAUAUGACCUGCACUGUCCGAUGGUAACAUGAUCCCCUUCUUUCACACGGAAGCACGGAGACACAUGCGCAGGUAUGUUCGAGUGUCUCUUCUCAUACCUUAAGCAAGCAACCAAAAAGAAAAAGAUUUCAGAACAACAAAAAACAUGAUGCCCUUUUUUUCCCCAAAAUGACAGCAGAAAUUAUAUAGAAAGACAACACAUGAAUACAAGAAUCAUGCCUUUGAUAUUUCUUGAUGUAAUGUAGAUAAUUCCGUCGAAUGAUGAUUGUUUUGUUCAUCUUAGCACUGUGGCAAGUGCCAGCCAAGAUACGGCCCCUGAUAGAAACAUUUCCAGUGAAUGGGCAUUUCUUAUCAAUAUAAGUCCCUGUAAGAAACAAAAAUAAAAUGUAGAGCAUUCGUAUCAGCAAAUACCAUAACAUGUAGAAUAUUACGGCCAAAAAGAGACAAUUGGAGUAGGCUCAAUUUGAAGUAAGAAAUAUAACCCAAACUUCAGAGAUCAGAAAAAAUAAGCAAUGAAUUUCUCUAAUAGAAGUCAUCCACACAAAACUGUCUCUAAGUUUACAUAAUUUUCUAAUCAAAAGGUAGUUAUAUACGCUCAUGAAAGUACAUAUCUUAAAGAAUGCAAAUCAAACUUAAAAACGGCAAUGCAGCAAUACUCAAAGGCCACUUCCCAAUUAACCCACAAAUUGAAGGCCUAUCACUAUCCACAUGCAUAUGCAAAAUUACAAAUCAAUCAGUCAAACUAAAACCCUAGUUCAUUUUCAUCACAUUGCAUAGCUUGAACGGUCCACUACCCAUAUAUAAACAAAUAUAAGAUAAAUAAGUAGAGAGAGAGAGAGAGACCUUCAAUGGCUUCCCUGGGGGUCUUGAAACCAAGCCCAACGCUCUUCCAGAAACGGUUUCCACCCUUUCCAGGUCUCUUCCCCUUCCCAGACUUCUUCGAGCUAAUUUAUUACAACACAAAUAGAAAAAUGAAUAACAUAAAACCCAAAAGUAACAGCAUGAUAGUGCAGAAAAAUUAAACACAAUCAAAACUUCAUGGAAGAUAAAUAUAUUUUUUAAAACGAAGUUUCUUCGACUAGCUACCUGAUGAACACCUUGGGCUGCUUCAGAAACGCCUUCUCAGUCUGAAACCAAAUGUAUUAUAAAAUAAAAAUAAAAAUAAAAAUGAAAGCACUGUUAAAAUGAACCAAAGACCAAAGUUCUAGGAUAGAAUAAAAAGCAGCAAGAUGGAGACAGAGAUAGAGAUAGAGAUAGAGAACCGACCUGUUCGGCCAUGAUUGAUUGAUAGCUCUCAAGGAGUUGAGGGGUGGUCUUUCAGAGGAGGCGAAUUAACGUUCGGUGCAACAAAACAAACGCUAACCCUAGUUUGCGUGCGCCACAUGCGUCUUGUUGAAAUAACCUCUAUAACUUAUAAGGGCGCCGUUCGGGUGAGUUUGGCCCAAUAUGGGCGGCCCUUUAUUUGGGCCAAUUUGGGCCGGAUUUCAUAUGAGCCUCCAACUACAUAGGGCCUUGGUUUUCUGUCUUCUUCCUCAAUAAUUCCCAAAAGGCUUUUUAUUGUUUUUCUUUCAGUUUUUGGUGUAAUUAGAAGGCUACCUAAACCCACACCACACAUGCUUUUUGGUGUAGUUUUUUCAUUAAUCACCUUGAUACGACGCCUAAUGAUUAACAUUUGUAAAAGUUGAUAUGUUUAAAGCUUUCUUUACACUCAUCUAAACGAAGUUUAUUCAUUACCAAUUUAUCAUACUUUCAUGCGUCAAUGAGUUAAAUUGGAAAAUCCACACACUUGGUAGAAAUAGGAAGGCAUCUGCCUUUCGUGGAGAACUCUCUCCUCAGCUUUGAUAGACCUUUGACCUUUUCAUUUCAUGAAAUAUUGUUUAAAGCUUCUCUUCUGUACAUAUAUGGAAAAUAUCCAGUGACGCAAAACAAUUAUAAAGUACAUUUCAAUGCUGCUAAGAUCGAUCGAUCACAUGUUGCAUGUGAAAUUCAGGCUUUAUGUAAUUCAAGGAAUGUAAUAAACACUAAUAUUAUAGGGAUCAUCAAAACUAUGUCUCAACAGGAACUCGAGAAAUUUUACAGAGUCUCGCUUUAAGGUGAAAAACAAAGAUUGAUACUUCAACGACUAUACUCAAGAAAACUCUUCACUUUUGCCAGACCAUGGAUACCAAUGCCGGUGCUCAAACCCUCUAAUCAUAACUCACUCCAUCUGCAUUGAAAAAAGCCAUACUACUUAUAAACAUCAGUAAAAACAAACAACAAAGAUAAAGGGUACAAGAAAGAAAAGAAAAUGGAUUAAGACUUUCAUCAUCACCACCUUUUGACGUUUUGAACUAGGAGGAUUUGGUUCGCAAUCACUCCGCUGACGGGAUGUCCCAACAUUGGAGUUCUCAGCCUGCAAAAAACACAUACUUCUCUUCAUGUUCUUUAUCAAUUAAUUAAACUUUCAUUUCAGAGUAACAUCAAGAUUUACAACUUUAGGCGUAGCAGCCCAUGCUUUGUUUGGCCAUUACGAAGAAAGAGUGCUUUGACCCAAAAAAAGAAGAAGAAAGAGAGCACUGACUUAAUAAAACUAGAAAUCCAAAACCUGUUAAAACAUGAGGCGUGAAAUGCCAUGACAAUGACAACAGGUGUAGCAUGCAUACCCUGGUGGAAGAAUCUUGGGCCAUUCUGUGCUCAGAAGAAUUUGCCACUGCUGUAGGUACAAGACCUGGCUCUCCCCCUGAUGCUUGAGAUAUGAAUGGCAUGAUUUGAUGAAGCAAAUUAGACAAAAAUAGUCCUUCAUCGGUAACCCUCGGUUCGGCUUCUUGUGCACCCACAACACCACUCGAUGUCCUUGCCUGAUCUGAUACAGAACCUGUAGUCAAUCCCUCUGCACUGCCAUCUUCUACGUGAAUUUCACCACCAGGAAAGAGGUUCCUUAUAAACUGUAAAAUGCCGCUUGGGAUCUGUCUCUCAGAUUCUUGGUUGUUUUGGGUUCCUCCAGCUGAUAAAAUGUUGACACUGACACUCCGUGCAAUAGAUGGCUCCUGCCUUAAAUUGGGAGUUGAUCCUGCGGGAAACAGGCACUAAUGAAUUAUUCAACUUAUGAUAGCAACUUGACCGCCCUGGUUAACUACAUUAGAAGAGAUAAACAAACUCAAAUCCAGUGUUUGGAUGAGCUACCGCCUAAUUCAACUCUUGUGAGUAAGACCUCAGAUGAGCUACACAUUAUUAUUUGUUAAAAGCAACCUUUUCUAUAGCUACUUCACAAGUCACAUAUGAUAACAAAUUAAGACACGCAGUUUCUAAAACAAAAAAAAAAAAUAUCUAAGGAACUUUUGUUUCUUCUUUCAGCACAUAUUAGUAAAGCAAAUGAAUAAAAAUUAAAUUCAAUGACUCGAUGCACAUCAUGACUUUUGGUUGGACAAACAAUAAAAUGUAAUCUUACUUUUAGACGUAACAUGUGAAAGAAUAAACCCUACAAAUAUGAUUGUAUGGUCUAUGUGGCAACUUACCUUAGCUGUACUUCAUAUACUAGUUUAGCAUAUUAAUAUCAACUAUUCUUAUUAUAUUCUUUUUUUCUCUCUCUCUUUUGAUCUCCCUUUCCUUCCUUCUCUUCUUACAAGAAGAUUAUAAACUAGGGUCUUCCCAUCAUCCACCCAACCCCAAUGCCACCCAAACCAAGGACUCACCCUCUUCACUCCAAUGGCUUAAAACAAUUUCAGCCUUCCAUUCUUGUGAAAUUUAUGUACUAAAAGUAUGAUUCAACUACUAUGUUGCAUGGUAUAUUCACUGGCGGAGCUAGAAAACAAAUUCUCUUCCCCUGGAACCGCCAGAAUGUAAUAUUACCCUCUCUUGCAGGACCUCCAACGUUUUGCUGUUCUACUGCAGAUUCCGAAGAUUGCUGAUCAGCAUGGAGACCGGCAGGAGGCCGAUCUCCAGAAGCUAGAGUUCCUCGUUCACCACUCACCUGUCCAGAAGCUACAUGUUGAAGCCUUCCAAGUAAUGGAUAGUAUAACCCUAUCGAAUUACCAGAAGAAUCAGAUGGUAGGCGACUGAGAGGUGCAGGUACUGCUGCAACCAUGGUCCUAAGUGGCACUAUCCGUACAGUUGAAUCUCCAGCAAAAGCUGGACCAUCUGAGACCCUUGAAAUAGCUUGAUUAGUAGGAUUUUCACCACCAGAGCUUGCUGGGUUUCUUUGCCCUGAAGGCUGCUGAGUAUCCCCAUGUUCCUCCCUAGUGACAUUGGGUGUUGUUGCUGAUGAACCUUAUGGGUAAAAUGAAUAGAGCUUAAAAUCAACAUAUAUUUUACAUCAAACAAAAUUAAACAGAACAUGAAUGGAAAUAGCCAGGGAAUAAAUUAUAAAAGGUACCUCUUCGUAUUUGUAUAUCAAUACGCCUUGGAACAAAACCAGUACCAAGUCCAUUAACAAGACCAGAACCAGGCUGCACAGCUCCCAUGGGGAUGGCACCAAAGCUCAUUCCUGAUUGAAAAGGAAGCGGCUGGCCAAGUAUGAUUCAGCUUCAAUCAGUACAAAUAGAACUAUUUUCAAAAGAGAGGUAUGAAUUAAGUGUUUAGAAAAUUGCCUGAACCAUUAUCGGAUUAGGGCCAGUCGGGGAUAUGAAAACUGCAGGUCCAGCAUUAACCACAGCGUCAGACUGCAUGAGAGAUGAGUCAGAGUCUGAGCAAGUUUUAUAGGUCAGCAACAUCUAAAUGGACAAGAUGACAAAACAAGGAAAUUAGAAUUCCAGAACACUACCGGUGUUUGACCUAGUUGCAAUGUCAUGGUUGUACGACCAAGUUCAAGUAAAAAGGCGCCAAGGUUGUGAAACAGAGCUCCAGUUCUUGACGCACUAGAUUGGGCACUGAACCUUGCUGAUGGAUCAGUCACAUUCACUUGAUUCUCCAGUUGGCUUGCAAAUUGCUGCCAAGAUGUAACAUGAAAAAUCGCAAUGUCUUUUGUUUAACAUGAUAAAUCAAACAGCUGAAAGCUUUUAGCUAUUAUAGGAUCACAGUAACUACACUCUUCUGCUUUCAAACAAUAAAAUUAGUCACUUAUGAGAACUAAAGAAAAAUCAAACUAAUAGCACAAGUUGUCAAAAUUGGAACACCAAAUUAUAUACUUGAAAUAAUAUAGUGAAAAAUUACAAUAACACUUAAGAACGCACAAGUAGGGAUUCUCCAACUUGUUCAAGGAGUAGUAGUCGAGUAGAACGCAUGACUUCUGCCAACGAUGCAGGUGAGGGGAGCCCCUCUUGCCUUGCCCCUGUAUGUGAUGAGGCAUUGGAACUUUCUUCAGUCCUAAGAGUAGCAGCUGUUUGACCCCUUCCCCCAUCUCUGGCUGUUGGUAAAUGAGUGUUGAAAUUAUCUCAGCAAACCAUCAACAUUGGUGUGUAACAAACAUAUAUGACAUAUCAAUAAAAAAUCUUGUACGUAGAAACUCACCAAUGGCCUCAAAUUCACGCCUCAGAUGACUGAGAUAUUGGGAUAAAGUAGUCAAUGAAUCAGGAAUUACCUACAAAGACCACCGACAUAGCAGAAUAGUUUCAUUAUUGUUUUGUCAUUAAGUUAAAGAUCAAAAUAGGCAACAGAAUAAAAACAAAUGAAACGAAUUGAAAACAUUAAACUUGCCAGGGGUGGUAGAGUCCCCAAAGAAAAAUCUGUUGGAUGACCAAAAGUCCCAUUUGAUCUAUCAGAGGGGCCCCUUGGGCCAGCUUGCUCAGAUUGAAAUUGGGAAAAAUCAAACAUACCACUCAAACCUGGUGUCCUUUCUGGCCUCUGUGGCCCAUGUUCCUUCAGCAUAUCAACCAUCCAAAUACCAGAUUAAUGAUGUAAGCAUAAAAGUGCACAUUAAAUUUAAACAACAAAUGAUAUACAUAUGCAGGUACACACAAACACAGUAUCUAUCAAUUUUGUCAGAACGUCAUUAUGAUCUUUUUUUCUUGGCAGCCUCCAAGAAACUACCCUUUUCUUUUCCUCAAGCAAAGCCAUGGUCAAGUAUUUUCAUUACUGUGAAUACUUUGUACUAAUUUGGAAGUGUGUACGUGUAUGUGCUUUUGCAGAGAGAGAACAUUGCCUAGGAAAGUUAAAUAUAUAAACCCAUACUUCCAGUCAUACAAGUGAUAAGCUUCUGAAAUUUUGAAAUUUUAAUUUACCCUGACUUCAAUCCCUUCACUGCCACCUGAAAUAUUUGGUAAUCCUAUAGAGCCGAGAAUGGCAGAGAUGAUCUGUUCAGAAGCAGAGAUAAAGGAGGAAAUCAUUACCAUCGGACGUAAUUACACCAGUAGAAAUACAAAUUAUUCUGUACUCACCCGACUGAUUUCUGGUGGAAAACCAUCCCCUUGAACAGGCAUGCUGAAAGUUUCAAUAACCACACCAGGGGCAACUUGAUGCUGACCACGGCUUGUACUUGAAGCCGGAUCAGUUCCUACACACAGUUGAAAGCAUGCAAAUAAUGCACGUGAGAUUUAAUAGUUGAACCAAAGAUCUACAAGAGAAACAAGCUCUGCUACCAUGUUGGAUAACCAAUUUUUCCAAACAACCCAGACUACUGUGUCCAAAGCUUAAAACAUGUUAACGACACGCAACAUGUAAAAUUGAAGAGUACUCUGUAUUUAUUGAUUUCACAUCAACCUGGAUGAUUUGGUAAUCCCUCGGGUGAUGGUAGGAUAGGUUGCCUGACAACCAAAUGUAAGGUGUGACCAUCUUCAACAUCUAAACUGUGCUAAGAAAAUACUUUCAAAUGCUUAACAUGAAAAGUUGGUGAGUGAAACUUCAUUUAAAAGAAAAAUGGAACAUGAUGUUGACUAGAGGAACCAAUAAUAAACCCCGAUCUCACACAAUAUUCAUAGCUGCAUUUGUUCAUAUAAUGCCUAAUUUUUUUCGAACUUAAUCUAGAAAAAGAGCUGGCAAGUAUUAAACCUUUGCUAUUGAUAGAGGAAAUCUCUUAGCAAGAGUAUGUGACAUUUGUUCAAUGUAUUCUUUUUUACUUUUCGUAAAAAGGAGACCAAAGGAGGAGAGGGAGGUUAGAACUUUGGCUCUGGGCAUGAGGGUAAGGUCAUUACCACAGGAGUCAUAAGCCCCCACCCAUUUGUUCAAUGGAUUUUUCACAACAUUACCCGAAACAUAGCUAGUAUUAAAUCUUUAGUUAGCAUAUCAAAGUUGUCUUAAUCUAUCUUUCACAGUAAUGGUUGACAUUAUUAUUAUUUCAUAUUUUGCAUAGGAGAUUUUGAGUAACUUUAUCUAUGUUCACUUCUAACUGAAUUAUCUUCUGUUGCAUAUCUUGCUGCAGAGGCAAAUCUGAUUAUGAUUGAAAAUUAUACACAUACGAACACGACUACUAUUAACACUAUUGCAAGUUCCAGUUUAGAACGCAGAAGAACAGAAAAUCCUAAUUAACCUAGAGAGUGCCACAAGAUUUUCAAAACUCAAAAAUUCUUUCACGAGUCAAAAGACCAAAUAGGAUACGAUAGGCAGAGAGAAGCUGAUCAUCCUUUAGAACUUUUCCUCGGCAUAUUAGUCGUUGUUGCUCGGAUAGUACACCAGUGACAGAGGCAAUCUGCUCUUUCAAGGCGGGAACUGGCAUCUGCAGUUGAGAGAAGAGAAUUUGGUUCAUUUUAAAACGAGUAUGCAAAACUUCCACAAAAAACCUUUCUACCAGCAUGUUCUCACUGGCAAUAUUGCUUCACAAAUAAGUUUCAAUAAUUAUCUUUAAAACUAGCAUAUACACAAGUAAUUUCAAAUUAUCGCACAUAUUAACAGUUUUAACUUAAGGAAGCAAUCUCAAGCUGCUGGGCACACAUUAUACGGAUGCAACAGAAAUGCACAUGCAUUACAGCAGUGAAGAUUGUACAGGAGGAAUAUAACUGUUGCUCACCUGAGCAAAAGCAAGGCAACAGAAUUAUUAAGCAAUAAACUUACUAAAUAACUUUAUAUAAAUGGCCAACCAAAUAACUGAAAGCCAGAUCUUAGUGGGAGCUAUAAUAAAAAAGCCACAAGAGUACCAACCUGUUUAUCCACCCUGAGAGUAUAGGUUUGUGAAUCCAAUGUUUUUAUUUUUAUCUCAACAGUAGUUUCAGACCCUUCAAUUUGCUCGCACAUGGGAAUGUGUUCAGCACUAUUACUUCCCAUUCUUCUCAGACCACACUGAACCUACGAAGGAGCGAUAUUAUAAAUAAAAAAUAUUGUCUUCUUUUCCUUGAGCAUUCAAUCAGCUAAUUUAAUUCAUUGGCAGCAAUAAUAGACAAAUACGAAAAAACAAAAUGAGAAAGAAAAAAGAAAACAAUUAAUUUUAUAAGGCAUACCCAGCUUUACUCUAACAACUUGCUCACAAUUGUGGUAAACACACGGGAAGAAAUUCUUAGUUAAUUCCCAAACCAUAAAACCAAGAAUGUCCAAUGAAAAAUUGGCAUAUCCAGUCUAACAUAUUUGAAAUGUGUUUGAUUUUCCAAAACCCAAGUCAAUUAACCCUUUCUCUCUAUUCUGAGUUAACAGCAUUAAACAAAAUAUGAAGUCUGACGCGUGCAAGGCAAAACAUACAACUAACUGUUAUGACAUGCAUUGCAGUUAAAAUGCCCCAAAUGAAAGAAACCAUACGCAAAAAGAGAUUUUGAGCACAAAACCUACACAACUGAUGCACAAACAAACACCGUAUCCGAACUAUAAGGAAAGCAACAGCACUUAUAUCACAGUUUCCUUCUCUACUUUUUCAUUGACAGCAUCUAUGACCCGUUUGGACUUUGAUCCAUUACCACACUAGUCAGCAUACAUAUCAAACUAUGUUCUUUCUCAGCCACAAUGAGUUUUGGUCUUGAUGUGAACAACUCAAUUCACAACAUUAUUUUUUUCGUUUGGAAUUUGCUUUCAUCGCAUGCAAUCUCUCAAAACCUCAGUAAAGUGAACACCUUUAUUCAUGACUCGAAGAUAUGAAUGGAAAAGCAUUUUGUAAGAAAAUAACAGCCUAUAUACCAACAAUCUUAGGAUUUUCCGAAUCAAGAACAAACGGAAAGAAAAUAUCCGCGUACUUUCAAUAUCUAAAAACUCCAGAAGGGCAAAAUUCAUACACGGACAAACCAACCCAAUAAUCACCAAACUCAGAAGCACGAAAAAUUCGAUUGACCCAUCAAAAUAAAAACGAAAACCCCCAAUACACACGACAUGAUCAUACUUACCUAAGCCAAGAGAUCAACUAGAUGAAGCUUCCAGAAGAUGGAGAAGCUUAAUAAUAGCCCAAAAGCGGGACACAAAAGCCCUCGGAGAGAGAGAGGGGGGUUUAUAUGAAAAUGGUCUCCGCCACUGAAAUUGGCUGGGUCGCCCGCUCUGUCACUGUGUGGCAAACGAUGGAUGAGCACCUCGGAGGGGCAGGAGGGAAGUACAAUGCCUAAAUUGGGGAGUGGUGGUGGUCGGGUGGCAAUCGACCUGUAAAUAUUAGUAUUACCCCUGGAUUUUCACCGUUGGGAUUUGGGUUUUUUGACUGCUUGCUUCUUCGCAGUGAAUACUGAAGGGGAAAAUAAAAAUUAGAGCACGUGUGCUUUUUUAUAGUCUGACUCUGACUCUGAGCAGUUGAUGAACAUCAUCGGCCUUUCACUUUUUUUUUUAUUUUUUUCCAAAGAUGAUGUCGUGGUUUUUUUUUUUGGGGUCAAAACGUGAAAGCUGAGGUGGUUGGAUGACGACAGGAGUGAAAUGUCAAAUUGUUUGAGGAUGUUUUUGGCUAUCAACAACUGGGUUCAUUUUUGUACACUUUUUCUUUCUUCCCAAGCAAUGAAAAAACCUUAUUCCAAUCAAAUAGUUAAUUCGUUUGGUAUAUAUUUAAUUAUUUUAUCAUAUGGUAUAUUUUUCUUUAUUUUUUUGGUCAAAUAUUGUAUCUAUUUAAUUGAGCACCACAUUAAUCGAUGAGAAGAUUUUAACCUCUCGCAUUUCCCAAACGAUUUCAUCAAAUAGAAUAUGGGAUAUAUUUCAUAGUAAUUGAUUUUAAUUGCCAAUAAAGGAAUUACAUAUAAGGAAUAUGUAAAAUGUAUUAUAUAUUCAAAGAUAUUUUUCUUUAUUUGCUUAUUUUGUAGAUGUCAUAUAAUAUCUUUACUUGCUUGGAACAUAAGAAGUCGUGAAUCGGAGAAGUGAUUCAUAGUUACGAUAUUUUCAAGAAAGUAAAAAGGGCUUGAGAAAGAAAGUUGGAACUCACUAUUCAUACACAAACCAAACAUUGGAAGUUGUCUUCUAUUUUUGUUACCCCCAAAGUGAAACCCUUUGAAAAUCUGAAUUUAGCAUUUCUUUAUUAAUCUAAAACUUAAUUAUAUGUACAAUAUUCUAAUAGUCUGUGUGGGUCUAACCUAGAUUAUCAUUUGGUUUACACAAUCAUUUGCCAAUAAAAAAAGAUAAACUGGAUGGAAACGUAUUAUUGAAGUUGUGUUUUUAUUGACGUAUACUUUAGGUAGUAUGUUUUGGUUCCUCUUGGAUGGGCUUGAAGAAAUAAAGAGAGAAUUGUGUGAUGAGGCCCAUCUAGUGUAUGGUAGUGGGAAGCCCGUCGGUGGAACUCAACUGAUCCAUGGCAUACGAUACGAGAACUUGGAAAAUGAGCAGCCAGCAGCCAGCAGCAACAACAGCAACCCUUCUUUUCAGGCUUCACCACACCAGUUUGGGUCUCACUCACUCAGACCGUCCAUCUUCAUCAUCAUCAGCAUUUCUUCUGGCUUCAGGCUUCAUCAACAAAACCUAUAAACGGAAACCGUUGGAAAUGGAGGACCAAUGCCAGUCUGCCACUGACUGGUGGUAAUGGUAUGGCUUUUCUCUUUGCCAAUUUUAUUCAUUAAUAUGUGCAGUGCAGUGAACCAAACUCAAUAUUAUUCAUAUUGUCAGAAAACAACAAUCUAUCUUUACAAGCAUUCAAGCAUUCAAGCAUUUAUGCAUUUCAUGAUAACUGCUUCAUGGGUUUUAUUUUAUUUAUUAUUAUCAAAUCAUCCAAACCAAAUGAGCCCACACUACUAGGUUUGGUGGUGAUGAUGAUGUACCGUUACUCUCGGCUGUCCGGGCCACAGCAGAUUUGACCCAACAAGGAACAUGUGAGAGCCCACAUGUUAAAAACAUAGUGCCACUCACUGACCCCUCACACCAUCACCGUCCAUCCAAUCAAUGUUAUAUGUGAAACAUGGUGAGCUCACUCCAGAAUCCCUGGUGGGCCCAAUCCCUCACUCAACAAAGAACACAAAGGGAAGGGAAGCCUCCUCCUCCUCCUCCUCCUCCUCCUCCUCCUCCUCCUCACAUACAAACACGUACUGCAGCAGAUCAUCAACAACACACCUACCUACUCCGUGAACUCAACACUGCACUUCAAGUUCUAACCAAUUUAUUUCAUGAUCUAUUAAAAGUGUGGAUAAGAAACACUCACUGAAAUUUGGUUUAAGACUUCAAACCAUCUAUUUAUCUUUAUAAGUUAUGACAAAAAAUAUUAUUCCUUAUAAAAGUGGUAAUCAUCACUACAUCAUCCAAACCAUAGUUUAAAAGCAAGUUAUAACAAAAUCCUAAUAGAAUAUACUACUAUGUACACAAAAUCAUUCAUUCCUAGCCCUAAAAUUCUGCAGCAUUUCUGUAAUGCUGUCCAACUUCUCUGGCUAAUAUAAUAUUCCUCUUUUAUUUGUCUAACACUGACUGACUUGGAUCACUUUCUGUGUGUGUUUUCUUUAUUUUUGUCUUUUUGGGUUUUCCCUACACUCAGACGGACUCAGUUGUGUAUCGGAGGUUUUCUCCUUGCUGGAGAAUAGUCCAUUUCAGUCAUGUCUGUGAGGUCAGGAUAGUGUUGGACUUGGUGGGCUACUGCAGCCUCCUGCUCCUGGUGCUUUGAAAUAACCGAUGAUGACUUAGCUUUCGCAUCACCAUCUUCCCCACCAGGCUGUGUAUUAUUAUUAACCUUUUCACCUUUUGGGUCCAGGUCACCUCUGUUCCCUCCAUCAUCCUUGUCAUUCUGUACAUGGAUCACACAGAAUCAGAGACACCUAACCUAACCCCUAUCAAUUGUUACUUAAACUUAAAUACGAGAUUAUUAUAUUGUUAUUUUGACUAAUUAAACCAACCUUUGAAGGGGUGUUAGUGGUUGUGGUAGCAGCACUAGAGGCUGUCUUAGAGACUAGUUUUCUAGUCUUUCCUGCAACAAUACAAAUCAAAACCACUUAAUUAAGGUAAUGUAAUAUGUAUGAGUCUUUGAUUUACUGCAUGAACUUAAGUUAAUCAGAUUAGUUUCGGGAAGGGACAAAAAUUGUUGUGUAGAUUGGAAACCCAAGAGUUUGAAGAACAUUGAUCCUAUUCUUCUAGCUAUAUAUCUCUAACUAAGCUCUUCUAGUAGCCAAAAAAUGGAUAAAAUUAAGAAGGAUGGAAUGAUAUAAUAAAAUGUAGCUAGGAAGGUAAUUAACUAAACUAAUGGUGCUUGGGUUUGUGGGUCCUAGGUCCAUAAUAAUCUUCAUGAAUACUUGGUAACCAGUGGUGUGAUGACUUCUUGGAUUCUCUAGAAACUGUUUUCUUCAAGGUACCUGAUGAUGAACACUCUCCACCAUCUUUGCAGAGACUGUUGAACUCUCCUGGACCAGCACUUCUUUUCAUUGAAGCAGUUUCCUGUUCCUGCAUUUAACAAUCAAAUUACGGAAAGUAAUGUAAGAAAAAUAUUUUGCACAGAGAAGAAGAAUGAGAAACAUGUAUACAUAUAUUGUUCUUCCACGUCUGAAAUUUUAAUUAUCUUGAAUGGUGAGAAAAUUUUACAAAGAACAUGAAAGAAGAGCUCACUUGUAAAUUAUUAUUAUUUUUCUGUUGUGCAACAGAGAUGAAUCCUUUCUCCAAUCGAAUCCCUUCAAAAGAAAACCAAAAUGAGCUAAUUUGAAACCAAUAUUUCAUAGACAUAAAUAGUUUUCUAACAACUAGGUUUUGCAAAAAUAUAUACCUUGAGCCCCAGAAAGGAGGAGGGACAAAAGAAGAAGAGAGACUGCUAGAGAUGGAGUUGUCAUUUGGAGUAAAUCUUAUGAAACAGAAAUAUGGCAGAAGAAAUACUGAGUGAGAGAUGGGCAAGAAGAUUAAAUGUCAGGAACAACAAAGUGUUGUGUUCUGUUUGCUGCACUGCAGGUUUCUCUUUUUCUUUCUCUCUGUUUAAAAGCUUGAACAUGCAGAGCAAAAUCUGAAUGGUAGAUGGUUUGGGUUUGGGAGAUCCCUGCUUAAAUACAUAUAUAAUCUUUGGGUUGGGCCCACCCACACUAAUUUCUUCAACAUGUAAACUUUAUAUGAGAUGGAUGAUUAUGCUUUCAAUUCUCUUUUUAAAUUUCAUUUCGUUUAAAGUGCAAGUCCUUGUCCAAGGAAAUAAAAGACAUGUUUUAUAAUCCAUUGGAUUACGGUUUGUUUGUGUUAAUCAAAUUCCAGUUCAAAAGGCAAUUCAUUAUGGGGACCAGAUUUGUCUUUUAUGAAAAGGCACAGUUGCUUUGCUCACUCUCUGCCUUCCCUGCAAAAUGUCCCAUCUUUUUGGGGUAAAAUGAGGAUUUCCUGAAUCCUCUCUCAAAUCUUGUUUAAUCUGUUAAUUAAUUUACCCAGUUUUUAGGUUUAAUGGUCUUUGAAUUUUGAUCCGAUUCACAUUCUGGUCUUUCAAUUUUCAAAAUCGUUCCCGUGGUCUUUCAACUUUAGUUUCGUUAUGAGAAAUAGUCAUGUCGUCAAUUUUGUUAUUUUUUUCUAUUAAAUUUGAGCAUGUGCACAUUGUAUAUUGUUGAGGGUCAAAAUUAGAAAUUGCUUCACUUUUGAGGUAAAUUAAAAAUAUUCAGAAGAUUUUUUAGUUUUUAUUUUAAUUUUUUGAGUGAAAAGAAUAUUCAUAUGGUGAAAAUUAAAAAUAAUACAAAAAGAUUAUUUUCUCCCUUCAUUUAAUAGAAAAGAUAAGAAAAUUAAUGGCAUAAUCAUUUAUCCUAACGAAACUAAAAUUGAAAGAUCACGAGAACGAUUUUAAAAAUUAAAAAAUCAAAAUACGAAUCAAGUGGAAAUUAAGAUGACUAUUAAACCUAAGAACCCUUAAUUUACCAUGCCUUUUCUUUUUAAUGCCCUAUCUUCUCAGAAGCACGAUGUAUCAAUCAGACUUGCACACAUCCAUAUAAUUUGCUUUCCGUGUUGUACCAUGCAACAAAAAACAAACCCUUUGGUGGGAUUAGACAAGCUGAUUUGCCAAGUGGUACCAACCCAACCAAGCAUGUAAUUUUGCCGUAAUUUGGUUGGUCAAGGAAUAGAAUCAUUUAAAAAAGGAAUAGAAUCAUAUGGCUAUAAGAGCAUAGGUAUUCCGUUUAGGGUGAUUGAUCAGAUCAGAUAUGACGCAUGCACUUUACAACUUUUGCGUUUAUAUGGUAUGCCUGAUUGGAGCGAGGGACGGGACGUGCAUACUGCAUUCCACACUCACUCAUGACAACUCAAGGCCUUUCCUUUCACUUGUAUUUACCAAAGAUGCUUGCAAGGCAUGCCUUUUUUUAAUUUAUAAAAAUGCAAAUUACUUGCUACUGUUUAGUUCAUGGGUUCCUGUACAGUUAUAUGUUAAUCAUGAAUCAGACAGUGCCACGACUUGAGCUCUCAAAACGCAGUGGGCAGCAGCCCACGUGUCACAGGAAGCAACCGGAGUAAAUGUGACGGCGACAGGCAAAGUUGAAAGUCACCCAUUUCGCACCGCCUCCUCCAGUCCAGACGUGGCAGUAUAUGUCUCUAGGUACUGGCUGCCGGCUCAAGGGAUGACCACUCCACGUGGACGUCGACAUCUAGCAGGGUCCACGUCCACCUGAAUAUGACGUGGCAUAAAAUAUGGCCACGUGGGCACCGCCGUUUCACGCGGCAUGUUUGUGCUUUGACCAUAAAAAACAAACAUCCCGGACGACGUUUGUCGAGACUGCCAUGCCAUGACAUUUCGUAAUGGUCCCUUCUUCUCUUGUUUUCUCUUUUUUCACAGCGGUUGUUGAUAGUGUUGUGGUUGCAGCUUCUUAGGUUUUUUUUUAAAA
rnacentral:lncRNA from 1 species